GCUAUCCAUGGCAGUCUAUUAUAGGAGGGUAGGAGAUAAGAUAACACAGGCUAUACAUAAAACCCUCCAUCAUCACCUGGAUUGGAGUAAACCUACAUUCAGACAUGGCAAGCAAGAAAGCUUCCAACAAGAGGCAGAGGGGAGGACAGAAAUCCUCCUCAAAUGUCUUUUCCAUGUUUGAGCAGUCUCAGAUACAGGAGUUCAAAGAGGCAUUUGGUUGCAUUGACCAAGACAGAGACGGUGUUAUCAAAAAACAGGACCUGAAGGAAACUUAUGCACAACUGGGUAAGUUCUUUACUUCCAACAUUUGAU